AGAGUUUGAUCCCGGCUCAGGACAAACGCUGGUGGCGUGCUUAACACAUGCAAGUUGAACGGGGUUUAUUUGGAAGCUUGCUUUCGAAUAGACCUAGUAGCGAACGGGUGAGUAACACGUGGGAAAUCUGCCCUAAAGACCGGGACAGCCCACCGAAAGGUGGAUUAAUACCGGAUAUGGUGGUGAGGUGAAAUUCCUUAUUAUUAAAGAUGGCUGAGGCUUGCAAGCUAUCACUUUAGGAUGAGCCCGCGGCUGAUUAGCUUGUUGGUGGGGUAAUGGCCUACCAAGGCAACGAUCAGUAGCCGGCCUGAGAGGGUGUACGGCCACACUGGAACUGAGGUACGGUCCAGACUCCUACGGGAGGCAGCAGUGGGGAAUCUUCCACAAUGGGCGAAAGCCUGAUGGAGCAACGCCGCGUGAGUGAUGAAUGCCUUCGGGUUGUAAAACUCUGUCUUAUGAGAAUAAAGCUUAGAGGUAAAUAAUCUCUAAGUCUGACUGUAUCAUAGGAGGAAGACACGGCUAACUCUGUGCCAGCAGCCGCGGUAAUACAGAGGUGUCAAGCGUUGUCCGGAUUUACUGGGCGUAAAGGGCGUGUAGGCGGAUAGGUAAGUCGGAUGUGAAAUCGCUGGGCUCAACCCAGCAAUUGCAUUCGAUACUGCUUGUCUUGAGUAUAGAAGAGGUAAGUGGAAUUCCAGGUGUAGCGGUGAAAUGCGUAGAUAUCUGGAAGAACACCAGUGGCGAAGGCGACUUACUGGUCUAUUACUGACGCUGAAACGCGAAAGCUAGGGGAGCAAACGGGAUUAGAUACCCCCGGUAGUCCUAGCCGUAAACGAUGAGCACUAGGUGUGGGAGGUAUCGACCCCUUCUGUGCCGCAGCUAACGCAUUAAGUGCUCCGCCUGGGAACUACGAUCGCAAGAUUGAAACUCAAAGGAAUUGACGGGGGCCCGCACAAGCGGUGGAGUAUGUGGUUUAAUUCGACGCAACGCGAAGAACCUUACCUGGAUUUGACAUCCCUUGACAGUCUAUGAAAGUAGAUUUUCCUUUCGGGGACAGGGUGACAGGUGCUGCAUGGCUGUCGUCAGCUCGUGUCGUGAGAUGUUGGGUUAAGUCCCGCAACGAGCGCAACCCCUACCGUUAGUUGCCAGCAGGUUAAGCUGGGCACUCUAAUGGAACUGCCGGUGUCAAACCGGAGGAAGGUGGGGAUGACGUCAAGUCCUCAUGGCCUUUAUAUCCAGGGCUACACACGUACUACAAUGGUCGGUACAGAGGGUUGCAAUACCGCGAGGUGGAGCUAAUCCCUUAAAGCCGGCCCCAGUUCGGAUUGGAGUCUGCAACUCGACUCCAUGAAGGUGGAAUCGCUAGUAAUCGCGGAUCAGCAUGCCGCGGUGAAUACGUUCCCGGGCCUUGUACACACCGCCCGUCACGCCACGAAAGCUGAUUGUACCUGAUAAUGCUAAGCUAACCAGCAAUGGAGGCAGGCGUCUAAGGUACGGUUGGUGAUUGGGGCGAAGUCGUAACAAGGUA
rnacentral:rRNA from 1 species